AGAAAUCAAAUCCUUCAAGCAAAAAAUAUACUCUUGAAUCAAAAAUAACUGACACCAAAAACAAAUAUUAGAAACAUCAUUUGCCUCCUUAGCAAGAAAGGUAACUAAUAUUGCAAGCAAAUGUUGUUCCGGUGUUAAGUUUCUGAUAAAACAGCAAUUUCACCAAAAAUUACAAAUGGAAGCGUGAACAGCAAACAUAAGACAAACAGUACACUGACACUUUUACAUACACAAGCAUUAAAAUAGGUGAAAA
rnacentral:misc_RNA from 1 species